GCCAGUGUGGUGUAGUAGUGGUCUGAGUGUUGGACUGCGAUUCCGGAGACCAGGGUUCGAUUCCCAGCUCAGCCA